GCCGAUGUAGCUCAGCUGGUAGAGCAGCACUUUCGUAAAGUGAAGGUCGGCGGUUCGAAUCCGCCCCUCGGCUCCA
rnacentral:tRNA from 1 species